GCCCACUAGGGGGCACUUUGAGACUUUGGAUCAAAUGCAGGAGCGACAGCGUCUUCUUGAAAAAGUAGACUACGACUAUAGUUUGGAGUUGGUGCUUUGUACAUUUUGUUAAGUUCAACCUAAAUGGUUGGACCUCUGAGACAUUCUGCAACUUUUCCCGGACCAGUUCAAGAGAGGGGUCUCAAGAUGGGGAGAAGCUGCUCUCAUCCGUCACCAAGGCAGGGGACACUCCAGGGAAGCUGCAGCCUUCACUAAAAGCCAGUGUCAUGAUGUUCAGCUUUUUACAGACUGACGCAAGAUGACAGCUGAAGAGAGACAGGAAAAUUGGGGAGCAGAGAAUGGGAUGGAGAGGGGUUGGCUUGCAGACAACGAUUGGCCCCAACUGGUCCUGGUGCUGGUAGGACACAGGCCCUGCCUCCGAAAAGGCAUCAUUAGAAAGUGACAAAACUGCCAGGGGCAAAACUGGCCGUGCACAAUGAUCAAUCCGGCAGACAGGAUUGAAUUGUAGGGGGGAGAGUGAGCUUUAAAGAAGGGAAAUCAGAGGGAGUUGGUAUAGUACAAGACCCCCUACUGCUUUAAUUACUGAUGUGUGCGUCUCCCAAUUAACAGCGCACCUAUGGUCUACUGGCCACUCUGGGCCUGCACAAAGCUGGAAAGGAGAAAGACCAUUCUGCAGGGAGAGGGAGAGAGAAACGCAAUGAGACACACAAACCGGGGUGCUCAUUAGCGAAUGGUAAUCAGCGGUCGAGAGGUUGGGCACUCACCUCACAAAACGCCACAUGUCAAUUUGUCCCCCUCCAUUCAUGAGCCCUCUCUCAUUUUUAGCCCGCUCCCUCAUGUUCCCUUGUUGAGGAGAAUUGGAUGGAGCGCCAUGGGGGGAAACACUCGAAGGGAAACGUAAACACAGGCCUGGAGUGGGGACUCCUGCUUCGUCAACAAGGGGGGGGACCACACUCCUCAGCUGUGGCUCUUUGGCUUCUUCUCUUCUGUCCCUCUCCUCAAACAACUCGUUUGACCUCAGCUUCAACUUCAUACAGUUCAUGUCUACCACCUGAUUUCUAUUUCAUCUACUCUACGUCAUGUACAACUGGGGAACAAAAUCUUUGAGUGUGAUACCUGUUUAUUGAAUGUUUUUUUCAGUGUAUCUUAGUUUGAGAAGUGAAGCCACUACAGACUUAAACACUGAUUCUUCUGUUAGCCAGCAGGGAGAGACGCCACUGGUCGCAAAAACUGGUUUGAUUACGUGGAAGUCUAUGAGGCAAUAAGCCGUCUUCUCACUUAAAUCAUUACUCCAGGGAACAUUUCCUUUCUGUUUUAAAUACAGCAUCAUGGUAAUUCUGUAAACGAUGACCUGUUCGGCAGGAAGAUGGAUGAUAGAUGAUGCAGGGUAUGAUUUUGGAGGGGGCUAACUUGUGAAUGCAGCAACCUGCCAAUCAGCAAAGAGGUGUAGAAAUAUGUACCCGCUCUCUCAAUCUAAUACAGCUCCAGAAAAAACCAAGAGGAUGCUCCAAAUUCUUCAUGCAUGGAAGAAAUUCUAUUCUAUUCAGUGUAUAUUCAAUUCCCACACAGGUACACCUCAUUCAGAGUAAUGAGGUACUGAUUGGGGUAUCACCUGACAUGUCACCCAACAGCUAUGUGAGAGACUGGUGGAGAGCAUGCAAAGAGGUAUUCGGUUAUUCCACCAAAUGUUGACUUCUUAACUCUUCCUAGUUCCUAUGAGAAAUGUUGUAUACAAUGAAACAAACAAAAUGUACAAUUUUUCAAACAUUUGUAAAAAGAAAAAAUUAAACAGAAAGUUAUUCCACAGGAAAUGUAUCACUACACCUAGAUUUGAACUUGCUUCAAAAAAACAGCAACGUUUGGAAAAUUAAAUUACCGCAUAUAGUUGUUGUUUUUCUUGCCAUG